UACGUAGGGGGCUAGCGUUGUCCGGAAUCAUUGGGCGUAAAGAGCGCGUAGGCGGCUGGAAUAGUCCGGUGUGAAAUCCACAGGCUUAACCUGUGAAUGCCGCUGGAAACUGUCUGGCUAGAGUCCGGAAGGGGCGAGUGGAAUUCCUGGGUGUAGCGGUGAAAUGCGCAGAUAUCAGGAGGAACACCAAUGGCGAAGGCAGCUCGCUGGGACGGUACUGACGCUGAGGCGCGAAAGCGUGGGGAGCGAACAGG
rnacentral:rRNA from 1 species